AUUCAGGGCGUCCUCCUCUUAAAAAUAGGAGGUGUGACAGAGGUGUCGUGAGGUUAGAAGACAGAGGAGAGAGAGAGGGUAAGAGUCUGAUUUAACACGAGAGAACCUCAAGUAACAUGAUGCUGUGCUGCUUGAUCAUGUUUGCAAGUGAACGAGGCCGGCUAUGACCGCAGGACAUCGCAUCAAUCAGCUGUCGGCUCAACGGGGACAAGAGGAGGAGAGCGCCAGCAGAGUGAUCGAUUUUCUUGAUGCAGAGCUUUGACAGCGUGGGGACUCAAGCUUUUUUCUUAUUUUGAUUGCUUUCUUUAUCUCCUCUUCUUGUGUUUUUGUCACUUAGUUCAAUCUGAGAUUUCAGAAAAGAAGGCAAAGGAAAGAGGUUCAGAAACCGCUCUAACAGAUAAACUUCUGAUGUCUUUUAAAGUCAUACAGGACCGGAGGCAGGAAGCAGUUCGCCUCCUGCUAGCUUGUUUGUCGAUUGUUUUGGUAUGAGGCCAAUAUGCAGGUCCAACAAUAACUCGCAGGAGUAGCAGAGCUGGAUAUACUGGAUAUAUACUGGAGUUGAUGCUUAUUACUUCACCUAAGAUGUGCUUGGAUGCAAAUGUAGAUGACUAAUUCAUCUAAAAUUUGUCAAACAUUUUUACAAAAUACCCGGAUGAGCGCUUGUUUGCGUUGUUAAGCUGUUGGACAAAUUGUUGUGUUUUUGUCACUUAGAUUAGUUGGAGGAGGUUCAGAAACCGCUCUAACAGAUAAACUUAUGAUGUCUUUUACAGCCAUACAGGACCAGAGCAGGAAGCAGUUCGCCUCCUGCUAGCUUGUUUGUCGAUUGUUUUGGUAUGAGGCCAAUAUGCAGGUCCAACAAUAACUAGUUAGGGUAGCAGAGCUGGAUGUACUUGUACUAGGGCUGGGCGAUAAACCAAAAUUUACUGAUACCCAAAUUUACGACAAUAACCAACGUCAUUUUGCCCAUGUCAAUAUAUUUGGUGUCAAAAAAAAUACAUAUAUAAAAGUUGUUUUUGGAUGUGUGUAGGUAGGCUAUGGUCUCAUGUCCCUUUUAAGACUCUGUCCUACAUCAGAGACGUGACUCCACCCCAUCUAGUCCGUAACAAAGAGGGAAAGACAGGUGAGGAAAUGGAGGACGGUUCAAAAGUUGUAGCAGCUGAAGUAGACGAAGUUAAUGUGGGAGGGGGUGAGCAGCUCGUGGAGUAGUUAUCGUCUAUUUAUCGUUAUCGAAGUGAACUGCUCAAUAUAUCAUGAUAUUGAUUUGAGGACAUAUCGCCCAGCCCUAGGCAGGAAGCAGUUCCCCUCCUGCUAGCUUGUUUGUCGAUUGUUUUGGAAUGCGACAUAAAGAGUCAGCUAGAGUAGCGGGGCUGGAUAUACUUGUAUUCAUGGAAACAAUCAGUCAUGGGGUUAUUUUACCUAAUCGAGCAACACAGUACAAACACAGCAGCAGAAAAAACACGAUAAAAAAACAGACUUGGAUGGCAGUAAAGAGAAUAAAUCAGAGAUACUCGCCUCAUCGUGAACAUCACUUUGCCUGCUCGCUGUGAAUAUUCUCAGCUAUUACCUGUCUUUGUGAAACAAAUCAAAACAUCAGCACUCACUACUUUUGUUAUUCCAAUAAGUCAAUUUAUACGACGCGUGGGAAGGCUGCAUCAUCUGUCCUUACUGCUCUAUUUUAUCUCUUUAAGAUGAGCCCAGCAGUGGUUAUUAAACCUUUUUUCUGCAGAUUUAUGCGAGUCUUUUAUAUUCCGGCGCUUUUGUCACGCUUCUUUUAUACCUCCACCUACACCUGUGAGCCUGUAGUCCUAACCUCUCCUCUCCUUCUGCUUUUCUCUGCAGUUUAAGAUCUGAAAUAUCCUUCAUGAGACUGAGUUAUGCAUCCCAGGCAAGAAGACGGCACAGAGAGGAGACAAAAGGGGUUUGGUGUAAAUGGGACACCAGCCGCUACAACUCUGAGGGGAGAUAUUACCCAUAACCACUCCCUAAUCUUUCUCUAUCACUCUCUCAGCAGGAGUUUAUGAUGACUGAGUGAUGAAGGCUUAUUACUUUAUCUGAGAUGUGCUUGGAUGCAAAUGAAGUUGACUAAUUUGUUAGAAAUUUGUUGAACAUUUGUAACAAAAUACCCGGAUAAGCGCUUGUUUGCGCUGUUAAGCUUUUGGACAAAUUGUUGGACAUGUGAAGCCAAACGAAGACAGAGCGGAUACAGCCGAACAGAUCACUUCAGCAGACUUGUUUCAAGAGCCUAAAACCUCUGUGUCUUUCUUCAGCUAUGCAACACACUGUUUGCACAGCUGCUCAGUAAAAUAUCAAUAAAGCUCUGCAGGAAUAUACGACGG